rnacentral:lncRNA from 1 species
UUUAUCAUAACCAGUGUUAAGUGAUUGGUUUUUUUAAGCCAGCUCAAAAGAAUUGAUUAUUUUCGAAGAGCCGCUCUAUCACAUAUAAUGUCGGGUCAUCUAAUUGACCGACUCUUAGAUUUUUUUCAACUUGUGCUUUGUAGUAAACUACAACACUUAUGGAUUUUUCAAACAUAUAGUUGUCGGGUUAAAUUGGAACCAUGGUCAAGGAUUUCUUUCAUCACAAAGGCAUCAUCAGUUCACAGAAUGGAUAUGAUUUUAUUCUACAAUGGAAGGAAUAGUCCUGAGUCGCUGCACGCACACGACCUGACACUUGGGGGCUACAUUAUUCAAAUCAAGAUUACUUCAAAGUAUGGAAGUCCCAUAUCGGUGCAAACAUGCACCAUGACACUUGGGGGCUAAUGCAAACUGCUCUUUCAAAUCAUCACAUCAUCAA